rnacentral:ncRNA from 1 species
GUGAUAGAGGCGCAGGCUCCAUCAGUAACCGGGCUGAACCGCGGGAACGUACCGGCGAAAGGGGCGCUUGCCGAGGUUUUUGACCGUUUCCCGGCGGUCAUCUGCCGGGAUAACGCAGAAGAUGCGUUGAUCCUGUCGUUAUCAUA